CUGAACUUCUUUGUAAACUUUUUUGCUGGGUUUUUUUCAGAGUAGGUCCAUUUUGUUAGGAUUAUGUGCACUGAGUACUUUAGUCAAAGUUCAGCUGAACCUGUGAUGUCACCAAGGACAGUUUGCAGCGUGAGUAUUUUGUUCCGCUUGUCGGAAGUGUUCUGGGCCGAGGGCUGCUUACACGAUUGCGAGGAGAGGAUUUACCUUAAGUGACUCUCUUGGAUUCAGUGAUUAUUUGCCAUCCUAGGGACAGUUUGAGCUGUGGGACCUUCUUGUUGUCCCGCAUUGCUAUAAACUGAGGCAGCGGUGAGUCCAUUGUUUUCUUAAAACACAUUAAUAUUGGGGGGGCGGAGCCAGCUAUCGAAGCAACCAGACGUGUUUCUGUGGAGCUCCUAAUACAAUCUUGGGCCAAAUUAUUAAUAUAAUCUUUAAAUUACCUACUACCAUACUGAAAAGCUUCAGGGAAACUCUUCAUUAACCGAGGGAUACAAAUGUGCUGUACUUUGGGAACAUGCAGUCGGCAUAUACCUCUCUAUAAUGCCAUGUGGCGAGAUCUGACAUCUAGCCUAUAUCUCUGGGUUAUUGCACCCUUCUCCUGCUGGGAUCUUUGGCUCCAAAAGCUGUCUUGAUAGUAUAGUAAACCAGAGAAGAUCUGGAGACACUGGUUACCCUAAAAGACAGGUACACUGAAUUUACCCAGACAAGACGUAGCACAAUCAAAAUGGAGGCUCUAGCAGCUUGGGAACAACGUACCCAACUACUUAUAGAUCAGCAUUUUCAGAGCCUAAAAGAGCACUUCAUCUCUAUAUUAUCCUCCCUCCCGCUCCUACCGGAAUCUACAGCCGACAAUACCCACCCUGGACAAGGGGCUGAAAUGUACGCUAAGCCUGCACACUUGAAUAUAGAGAACCAGGGCAUUCCCCUGACCAGGCCUGCGCUCAAUUUCCCGCACUACCGACUACACCGAUCACCGGACAUAAGCUCUCUGGGGCUGGGAGGCAAAGAAGGGGCGCCAAAAAUUGAAGAAGCUCCAAGCUCUAAUAUAUCUCAUAUACAGGAGGUUGCAGUACCGGGAAUCCCUGGCACAAAGCGCGAUCCUCCCCACCGGAUCAUUUAUCAAGAAAAGGCUGCAGAGUGUGGGGUUAACUUGAAGUACUGCCAUGAGAGAGCACAUCAACUAGCCUGCCGACACCUAUUCGGGUUGCAAGAAACAGGCCACACCAUCAAUCCAUGGCUUCUACAGCUUCCAGAACAAGUACUCAAAGUAGGAGUCGGCUAAGAAAAUUAUCUUCACUGUUAAGCUACUAACGUUCCCACGGUGGGUUUCUGAUAUACACAGCAAUAUUCUCCGUUGCCUAUGUGUGACUUGGUGUAGGUGGGCUUUUUUAUUUCUGCUUUCCCUACAGAGUUAAUCCUAAACUUCAUUUUCAUCUUCAUCUUUCUAGUCUGACAUUAGUUACAGCCUGCAAAUUGAGAGACAAUGUUGAUUUAUAUGCCGUGUUUGGUUUGCCUAUACUUUGGGAUGGUGUGGGUUCGUGGACAUAGCAUGGCUAAUUUUAAUUGGCACCUUCUAUACACACUUACACAGAGAAUACCCCUUCUGGAAAGAUUCAGUGCUCCGACUAGAGGACUUUCUACAAAGUUUAAUUACGUUUGCCUUUAUUAACAUGCUAUGUGGAUAUGUAUAACUAUCUGUUUUCUGGUAUGGAUGCGUGAAUUUGUAUGUUGCCUCAUGUUCUGUUAGAUGGCUGACUUGCUAUAUACAAAGAGCCACUUACUUUAUUAGGAUUCCCGUAUCAGAUCGCAUGCUAACAGCUUAAAUAUGUAUUUGCAUUGCCUGACAAGUAAAUACCAACUGCGACCACUAGAGGGGAGUAAAGAAUUAGAUAUGAGCUAUACGGGAUCUACUCUAGUUUUUACACUUACUAAUUUGUUGUUAGACAUGUCUCCUAUAUUUUUGUAGUUAUUUUAGGUGACCUCUGCCUGGUGUCUAAUCUAGAUAGAAGGAAUAGUAACAUCUCACUGUUUUAGGCACUGAAACAUGACACCUACUCAACCACAGGAUCGCCUCCAUAUCGCUGAGGAAGAGGUGCAGAACCGGACAUGCUCCUGUUAGGACUAAGUGCAGCAGCAAUAGGAGCAGGAGCAGCCAUAGCUUGCGAGGCACUCUGAUCCAAAAUGUGCAGUCUCCAAAUACACCUUUUUGAGCUAGGAACAACGAUGAUGCAAACAAUAACACCAUUCCUAUACUGGAAAAAUAUUGGAAAUAUUAGAAAAGUCACCCAUCAGCAACAUGGACAGCAUAGACUACGGUGAUCAAAAUCUUAAGUUAUUGAAUAAAUAUCGACAACAAAGUGGACAAAAUUCAACUGCUUAAGGCAUUUGAUGAAUGCUUAACAUCCAGAGAUUGACCAAUUACACACAUUGGGUAAAUGAUAACAAAAUCAUCCACAAAUCUGCUCAUGCUUGAAUCCAAAAACAAGAUGGUGCUUCUGAUGCCAUCAAUGACGGUCCUUUUGGAUAAUGAUCAAUUUGCACCAUAUAACUUUACUGAACCUGUGAUGGCCCCUUUGGAUUCGGAUGUUUGUUGCUCUGUAUCACUGAUCAACAGCUAUUAUUGGAUUGUUAACAAUGUUAUUCUGGAGAUAUCAAAUAUUGUCUGAUCCCCAGAAUUUAGGAAAUAUUAUAAUUGAGGCCAUUUUAUUUUACAUUUAAAGAGACUUCUAAUAUUCCUAAGUUGUUUUAAUGAGAACAAUUUUGCAGGUCUUCUAAUUUACUUUGCAAUAGUCAGCCUUUUUUUUCAUCUGAAAUAACCUUCCAUGGACUUAAUUCAGUCUUGACAUAACAAUAAAGUAAGAAUCUAAGUCU